GCCUACAGCCAUGCUACCCUGAACAAGCCCUAUCCCGUCUGAUCUUGGAAGCUAAGCAAGGGUUGGGCCUGGUUAGUACUUGGAUGGGAGAUCACCUAAGAAGACCAGGUGCUAUAGGCG
rnacentral:rRNA from 1 species